UGGGGAAUAUUGCACAAUGGGGGAAACCCUGAUGCAGCGACGCCGCGUGAGCGAAGAAGGUCUUCGAAUCGUAAAGCUCUGUCCUAUGGGAAGAUAAUGACGGUACCAUAGGAGGAAGCCCCGGCUAACUACGUGCCAGCAGCCGCGGUAAUACGUAGGGGGCAAGCGUUGUCCGGAAUCACUGGGCGUAAAGGGUUCGCAGGCGGAAAUGCAAGUCAGUUGUGAAAGGCAGAGGCUCAACCUCUGUAAGCAAUUGAAACUGUAUUUCUUGAGAUGUGGAGAGGGAAGUGGAAUUCCUAGUUUAGCGGUGAAAUGCGUAGAUAUUAGGAAGAAUACCGGUGGCGAAGGCGACUUGCUGGACACAAACUGACGCUGAGGAACGAAAGCGUGGGUAGCAAACAGG
rnacentral:rRNA from 1 species